CCCGCCCCUGCAGCCCUGGCCCUGUGCCCGCUCCCGCCUCCCCCGCUGCUGGGGUCUCCUUGGCACUCGCUGCUCCAGACUCGGGUGAAGCUCUUGCCUGCGGGAGCCCAGUUUCUUCAGGAACCACCCGGAGCAAGAGGGAGGCGAAAAACUCUCUAGUUAUUUCCUUAAGAAGACGACGAGUUUGGAAGAACGAGCUUGAGUCACAGAUAACCUACUCCUUCACCACUUCCAAUGGGACUCGUGCUUACUUGAACUUUUUCGUCUUUUUGCUACUGUGAAUACUAUCAAACUUUUUAGCACCAGACAACAUAUCUACGCCAUAUGAAAUUUCAAUCUUCGUGCCUGCAUUGGAUACCCCUAUACAUUGUUUUUUGGAUCUGCCAACACAAUAAACAUUUCCCGCCACGGGAAUUCCUAUUCUGUCACCUGUUCUAAAUGCGUGUUGUCUAAUUGCCUAACUCCUAAUAUUGUUCAUAAUUUUUCUACUAUGUUUAUGUUAAAAAAAAACCUUCUUAUGUUAUAUUACCUGUUGAUUUACAAGAUACCCCAUAAUUUGACAAUAUUGCUUUACAAGUUAUUCAGGAAUUCAAUGCCUUAAUUUGUUCUAAACAUUUUGUUGCUACGCUUAUUUUAGGUAUUACUGCCUUAAUUGCUAUUGUGACUUCUCUUACAGUUUCGUCUGUUGCCCUGGUUCAGGAAACACAUACUGCUCAUUUUGUUAAUAAUCUCACAAAAAAUGUUACUUUGGCUUUAGCUCUGCAACAUGACAUUGAUCAAAAUCUAAAACACAAACUAACUGCUUUGGAGGAGACAGCACUUGGUACAAAAGUCCAACAAAUUAAAUGACUUCUCUCUACUCGGUGCCAUGCUCAAUUCAGGUUUAUUUGUGUUACGCCCAAACUUUAUAAUUCUUCCUAUAAUUGGGCUUUUAUUAAAAAUCAUUUACUUGGCAUUUGGCGUAAAAGUGACACCAGUCAUAAUUUGUCUUCUCUCCAGGCUGAAAUCUCAGCAAUGAGUCAAGCUCAUUUGUCCAAACCAGCUUUGUCAGAUUUUGCAUCUACGUUUUCUGAGUCCUUACGUUCUUUGGCACCCUCUAAUUGGUUACACUUUCUUAUUUCAUUUGGUGUAAUCAUGCUCAUUGUCUUGAUUUGUUGUCUCAUGGUCCCUAUAUUCUUAAAAAUACUCAGCAAAUCUAUUAAAACUUUACGAAGUGAUGUGCAUCAAAUACAACUUAAAUUUAAAAAUAAAGGGGGAACUGUGGCGGCUCCUGCUCCCCCAAGAGCAAAGUUACCAUUGCCACAAUUUAUCGUUAAUAUAAGAGUGGCUGUACUAUGAAAGUACAUAAGUCUCUCUUCCCCUGUGUGCUGGACAGGACAGUCAAUGACGGGUAAGAUCAGAAAAGAUUUCUGACGACCUAAGACAGGCGCAGUCCCCAAGGGGAUUUUAAUGGUUCCCACCUUUUACUUAUGGAAAAUAACUGAUGGAAAACAAGUCUGGGAAAUGUUGAGACACAACCAAGGCAUGUUGUUAAUCAUUAAUAAUCUAGGUCUUGUACUGAAGAAAUUCAAUUAUGGUGAGAGAAACUGGUUCUAUGACUUCUAGCAAAUGUGUAACCAAGUAGAACUAUAGGAAUAAUAAAUAGUACUAAAAAAAAUAAAAACAUCAUG